rnacentral:lncRNA from 1 species
UAAUCCUGUGACCUUGUCCUGCCCUUGCUUCUGGCCUCCUGGACACCUGACCUUUCUUUCCACUUAUGCGGUGUCACCCUGCUCACACCCGAGUCUCAUGUUCCCUCUUCCUCUUUGUGGGCCAUGAAUCUAACUUCCUGGUCCUCUUGGUGGAUUUCUGCUUUUGUUCACAGGGGAAAUCUGCUGGGGAACCCAUGCGCCUCUCCCAAGGCACCCACACAGCCACAUGCUUCCCCGACCACAGGGCUGUGACCCCAGGUCUGCGACCCCAGGUCUGCAUUUCUCCGAAAGAAUGACCUCGUUCCCUCCCCCGGCAAUGGUGGGGUCAUCAUGUGAUAGAGGAUUGUCCAGACGACAAACGGAACCAGAUGAUGAUCACAGGGAAAGCCAAGUAUGGAAAAACCUGAGCAAACAUUUCGGAUGGCUGUGGCUUCCUCAUGCGUGCUCUGUUGGGGAUGUGGAUCCCACGUGUAGGAGUAGCCAAUCUGACCAGCAACCCCGCCAGCCACCAUCUUACUGGGAAGCUGCCAUCUGAUUUGAGGAUGCAUUCACAUCUCCUCUGAUGCUCCCAUCCUCACAUCUAUGUAGGUGGACAAGCUAUCUCUGCUAAUACUGGAUUUCAGAAGCUUCUUAGAUUUUCACACUAUUAUAGGAA